UGAACGCUGGCGGCGUGCCUAAUACAUGCAAGUAGAACGCUGAAGGAAGGAGCUUGCUCUUUCCGGAUGAGUUGCGAACGGGUGAGUAACGCGUAGGUAACCUGCCUGGUAGCGGGGGAUAACUAUUGGAAACGAUAGCUAAUACCGCAUAACAGUAGAUAUUGCAUGAUAUCUGCUUGAAAGGGGCAAUUGCUCCACUACCAGAUGGACCUGCGUUGUAUUAGCUAGUUGGUGAGGUAACGGCUCACCAAGGCGACGAUACAUAGCCGACCUGAGAGGGUGAUCGGCCACACUGGGACUGAGACACGGCCCAGACUCCUACGGGAGGCAGCAGUAGGGAAUCUUCGGCAAUGGACGGAAGUCUGACCGAGCAACGCCGCGUGAGUGAAGAAGGUUUUCGGAUCGUAAAGCUCUGUUGUAAGAGAAGAACGAGUGUGAGAGUGGAAAGUUCACACUGUGGCGGUAUCUUACCAGAAAGGGACGGCUAACUACGUG
rnacentral:rRNA from 1 species